GUUGCAGACCCCUGGCCUAGAUCAAUGUAAAAAUGAAAAACACAUAGUUGGAGCUUGAAUGAGAGAGUAGUGCAUUACGUCCACUGUGUACUUAACAAAUAGCAGAUUUAAUAACACUCUGACAGGCUGGUGAUGAGAACUGGACAGACUGACCACAUCCUCAUCACAGUCACCCAGUUAAGACUGAACCGUUCCUUAAUGGAGACUGAGUGAUUACUGAUGAGGCACAGGUGUGCACAUGAUGGACGGGGUUCCUAUUGUCAAAAGGUGCCCUUAUCACUGUCUCUCCCUCUCUCCCUUGCUUGUUGAGCUGGGAGGAGGAGCCACAUUUUGAUGCUCCAUGUUAAACCAUUAACAUUAUUUGUUACACUUUAGCUGUGAUGGCUCUCAUUGUGUUUUGUAGUGCUGUCUCUCUCUGACACCUCACACACACCACAGCAUUGCAGUGCUGACCACAGUACAAAUGUGCUUCUAUUAUUCUCCCCAGUAUAACUUCCUGUUCUUUCAUCUCCAUAUAAAACAUUGACUCUACUAGUUUAAGGAGUUCUGUUUGUACUGACUGCUGACAUUUGUCUCAGUAACAAACAAAUUCAUCUCCUCUCACUGUUCCUAUCAGAUGAUUCCAACUUAUACUCACAUAAUAUUAAAACGCCUUGAAAUUAAUGUAAUGAAUUUGUAUUCUAUAAACUGACUGAUUUAAAUCAACUUUCCACAUGUUCACAAUGACGGAAAAAAUAAAGACAGUCACUCUCUCACCAGUGUGUUAACAUUUUAGUUUGUGAACAUUUAAUCAGUCUAAGUAAUUUAGCAAAUUCCAAAAAAGUUCAAAGGUUUACUCGUGUGUGUCAUAUAAUGUGUAUUUUUGAAUCCACUGAUGAGGAAAAACAAAAUGGUGAGGACUUAAAGACAGCUCUGUUAGUCCAUCAGUGUGUGAACCAUUUGUGUUUCUGAUGUUUAUGUGGUCAACAUUAGAGGCUCACACCUCCAGAGCUUUGCUGCUGCUGUACCCACAUUCUCACAGAAAUACUUCCCCUUCACUUCUCAGAAAAAAAUGACUUCAUAGGUACAAUGAUGGCCAACAGGCCUCAGACUACUAACACAUCUUCUCUGUGUCCUUAUCCAGCUGCUAGCAGUGGUGUUUGCUGCAGUAUCAACAUGUUUCAUUGUGAGCAUCAACACACACAUUCUUGUUAAAAGCUCAAUUAUUCAGUUUAUGAAUAAAGAGAGAGGGAGGAUAAGAACAUUUGAAGGCUGUAAACUAAAUUAAUUCAGAACAAGUGAUGGAGAGUAAACCACUGAUGAGGAAGUGAGCAGGAAGUUGAAGCUGUGUUCAUCUCUGAGACUGUCUCAUUUGUGAAUGUGAGAGCAGAGAGUAGAGACUGACAGACAGAGAAGUACGAUGGCUGCAGUCAUGUGGAUUCAAAUGUCUUCAUUCCUGCUGCUGAUGCUUCAGAUUACAGAAACAACACCACAGACUUUGUCCUCCUUCAGAGCUGCCAGAGCUGGACAUGACAUCAUUUUGUCUUGUGAAAAUGUGAUAGAUGGUCAACAUAACUGCAACUAUACUACCUGGAUGUUCACUGAUUCAAGAAACCCAGCAGCAGUAGAGCUGGUUGUUCAUGGACAGAUUAAUGAAAAUGUUACAGCUGAAUACACCAGACUGAGUGUUACAGCGAACUGUUCUCUGCUUAUAAAGAAGGUCAAAGCUGAAGAUGUUGGUGGUUACACCUGCAGACAGUACAAAACAAGAGGAGGACCACAAGAAGGUCCAGACUUUACAGUUUAUUUGUCUGUAAUUAACAUGACUGAACAUGAGAACAAUGAUAAAGUCAUUGUGAACUGCUCUGUGCUGACACAUGGACACUGUAGACACACAGUGGAGUGGUUGUAAACGUAGUUUGCAGGUUUUUUUCUUGAAAUAAUUUUGUUUUAAUUUGUUAUUUCAUUUCUUUAGGUGAAAACACAAAAUCAAAGACUGCAAAUUUCGUCUCAACAACAACAACAACAACAACAACAACGAGAACAACAAAAUCUUCUCUAGAAUCAAGAAAAACCUCACAAGGUGAAGAAAAGACAAACUCAGCAACUGCACAAUUCACAUCAACAACAACAAAAUCUCCUUCAGAAUUGGGAAACACCUCAGGUUUUCUGCUCAGAUGCAUCAUCGUGUCUGUGGGUUUCGCAGCACUCCUAAUAUCUGCUGUUACAGUCAACAUGUGGACAAAAACCAAAGGAAUAAAAACACAGAUGGAAGGAAACACUGUGCAUAACGAUGAAGAUGAUGGUGCAGUGAACUACGAAAGCACUGCAGACUCUUCUGCUUCUGUCAGACUCCACUGACCAACAACUUCAACAUCAACUGAUCACAAAAAUGAAUCAUAAUAUCAUUGAUAUUUUCUGACAUUUACUUUUUGAUUUUAUCUCAUAUGUAGGAGCAAAAUUCUUUUCUUUGUGCACUGAGCUUCAACUAAUAAGAAAAAUAACUUCAAA